CACGUAGGGCGCGAGCGUUGUCCGGAAUUAUUGGGCGUAAAGAGCUCGUAGGCGGCCUGUUGCGUCCGCUGUGAAAGCCCGGGGCUUAACCCCGGGUCUGCAGUGGAUACGGGCAGGCUAGAGGUAGGUAGGGGAGAAUGGAAUUCCCGGUGUAGCGGUGAAAUGCGCAGAUAUCGGGAGGAACACCGAUGGCGAAGGCAGGUCUCUGGGCAUUAACUGACGCUGAGGAGCGAAAGCAUGGGGAGCGAACAGA
rnacentral:rRNA from 1 species